UCAGUCACUUCCCUAUGAAGAUGUCCCCCAAUCUUAUCUUGAGUAUGUUCUGGUGUACGAUCCAACAAUUUGUUGCUUUCCUCGGCAUCUUCCUCAUUCACAUUCCCUUCAGAAAUACUGCCCUCUUUCAAUUCUUCACUUACAUUAGAGGCAUUUUCAGGUACAACUUCAGUAUAAAUAUUUUCAGUCUCUUCCCUAUAAAGAUGUUCCCCAAUCUUAUCUUGAGUAUGUUCUGGUGUAUGAUCCAACAAUUUGUUGCUUUCCUCGGCAUCUUCCUCAUUCACAUUCCCUUCAGAAAUACUGCCCUCUUUCAAUUCUUCACUUACAUCAGAGGCAUUUUCAGGAACAACUUCAGUAUAAAUAUUUUCAGUCACUUCCCUAUAAAGAUGUUCCCCAAUCUUAUCUUGAG
rnacentral:lncRNA from 1 species